UACAGAGGUCCCAAGCGUUGUUCGGAUUCACUGGGCGUAAAGGGUGCGUAGGUGGUGGGGUAAGUCGGAUGUGAAAGCUCGGAGCUUAACUCCGAAAUUGCAUUGGAAACUACCCUGCUAGAGGGUCGGAGGGGGGGACUGGAAUACUUGGUGUAGCAGUGAAAUGCGUAGAUAUCAAGUGGAACACCAGUGGCGAAGGCGAGUCCCUGGACGACUCCUGACACUGAGGCACGAAAGCUAGGGGAGCAAACAGG
rnacentral:rRNA from 1 species